CCAGAAGAAAGACGCGAGGUGUUCAGUCGUGUUCUGGCUGCUCACUGUGGAUGAUGCUGUUUUGCGGACCUGACAGAGCAGAACAACAAUGCAGCUUGUAUCAUGGAAACAACUGACCUGGUUCCAUAUGGAUGUUGGAGUCGUAGAUAAGGUCGUUUAGGACGCGUAAAUUCUUGGCACCGUGCGUAAAAGUGGAUUUUUGAGGGAUAAUUUAGAUACAGAGACUUUUUGUCUGCUGUUUUCGUCUUUCUUUUAACAGGAAGGAUAGUGUGACAGUACUGCGCUCUGAUUCAGCACCAGGUGAUGGACAGCUCACCGACUUUGCGCGCGGACAGGCUCGUGGAGCACAUCUCCCCAUGCUGAGCUCAAAGGCAGCAGCAGACAGCAAAGUUAUUCAGCCAAAGUCUCGUCAUACUGACUCCCCCGCCCACAGAUAUAAACGCAGCUGUACUAACAGUGGUGCUGAAGUUGUCCUGAUAUGCCUCCCAGCCGCGAAGAUGACAGAGUUUGCUCACACAGCCCGGUUUCCAGGUAACGUUGAGGCAGCGGACGGGAACACCUCCAUGCUCUCCGGUGAAGUUGGACUUCUUACAGCCAGAGGGAAAAAUGGGAGGAAACCACCUGUUCUCUUUGGAGACGGCUGCUCUCUGUUUGCUGCUCAUGUGUCGGUCAGUUCUUUGCCAGGAUAAGACCUACUCACACGCUGAGGAUGACCUCUUCAAGACCCUGUUUGCUGGUUACAACAAGUGGUCCAGACCCGUGCCAAACAUUUCAGAUGUGGUCAUCGUCAAGUUUGGAUUGUCCAUCGCUCAGCUCAUUGACGUGGACGAGAAGAACCAGAUGAUGACAACUAACGUGUGGCUUAAACAGGAGUGGAAUGACUACAAACUGACGUGGAGACCUUCUGACUACGACAAUGUGACGUCCAUAAGAGUCCCCUCAGAGCUCAUAUGGGUACCAGACAUCGUCCUUUACAACAAUGCCGACGGUGAGUUCGCCGUGACCCACAUGACCAAAGCUCAUCUAUUCUACACGGGUAAAGUCCGCUGGGUUCCUCCUGCCAUCUACAAGAGCUCCUGCAGCAUCGACGUCACCUUCUUCCCCUUCGAUCAGCAGAACUGUAAAAUGAAAUUCGGCUCCUGGACGUACGACAAGGCCAAGAUUGACCUGGAGCAGAUCGAAAACACGGUGGACCUGAAUAACUACUGGGAGAGUGGCGAGUGGGCCAUCAUCAACGCUGUGGGGACGUACAACACCAAGAAAUACGACUGCUGCCAUGAGAUCUACCCGGACAUCACCUACUUCUUCAUCAUCAGGAGGCUUCCCUUGUUCUACACAAUCAACCUCAUCAUCCCCUGUUUGCUGAUCUCCUGCCUCACUGUUCUGGUUUUCUACCUCCCCUCAGACUGUGGCGAGAAGAUCACUCUGUGCAUCUCUGUGCUGCUGUCCCUCACUGUCUUCCUCCUCCUCAUCACGGAGAUCAUCCCAUCCACAUCCCUAGUCAUCCCUCUCAUCGGCGAGUACCUCCUCUUCACUAUGAUUUUCGUCACCCUCUCCAUCGUCAUCACCGUCUUCGUCCUCAACGUUCACCACCGCUCUCCCAGCACUCACAAGAUGCCCCGCUGGGUCCACUCAGUGUUCCUGGACCUGAUCCCGCGCUGGCUGUUCAUGAGGCGGCCCGCGCCAGAUGGCCGGCGUCGCAGGCUGUUGCUGCUCCAGCAGGAAGCGGCGGCCGAUCGGAGGCAGCUGGGGAGGAUAGACCGGUACAAAACGGGCAACUGCCUCAGCACCUCUGCCAACUGGUUACGAGACGGGACGAUAUCAGAGGAGGCCGAGAGGAGCAGCUACGAGGAUUUAGAGCUGGGGACGCUGACCUCAUACUUUUCAUUUCGACCUCCUUCGCCAAGGCCUCCGGGGUCGACGCCACCGCCGCAGCAGAAAAACCCUCAGAACAGCUUGAGCCGACAGGAGGGGGGUAACAGACAGACAGCAGCGGGCAGAGUCAACCCCACUCAGAGGCCUGCCAAAGUGGAGAACACUGUUUCAGACUCGAGCUUCCUGCUCUCACCGAGUGUGAUACGAGCUCUGGAAGGGGUGCAUUACAUCGCAGACCAUCUGAGGGCCGAGGAUGCAGACUUCAGCGUGAAAGAGGACUGGAAGUAUGUUGCGAUGGUGAUUGACCGCAUCUUCCUGUGGAUGUUCAUCAUUGUGUGCCUGCUCGGGACCAUCGGCCUCUUCCUCCCCCCUUGGCUAGCUGGCAUGAUCUAACUAUUGUGAGAAAACAUGAACAGAAUCACUUCAAAAUGUAGCUGAACUUUACUUCCUGACUGGGAAUGUGACUCAUAACUUACCUAAACACCACACUUUAUUUUUUCAAACGCUUCAAAUGAAAAUUAAACCUUUAAUUCCCCAUAAAGUGACAAUAUUAUUAUCUAUGAGACUCUACUAAGCUGCACUUUAGGUGAAUUUCGACCAAGAGUUCCGGGGUCUUUUAGCCCCCAGAACUACUUUACCCUGAACUAAAAGGUUCCUGUGCCCCCCAUUGUUGUCUGGAGUCCCGAGUAGAUUGUGCAAAUCAGGCCAGUGACGUAUGGAGAAAAAAAAAGUAAAUGCACGACACCACCAGACCAGUAGAGGGCAGUAAAACAAAGACGAAUGCCAUUCAUCACAGAUGACACCAUAGAAGCAGACGAACAGGCAGGUAUCAUUAUGAGCAACACAACAGUUAGCCUGUUAGCAUGAAGAGAUUUAGAUGGUGCUAUAUUUCAUCACAGAUGGAUUCACUGAAUCAACACGUGAGAGGAGAUAAGCGGGAGUAGCAAAGACGUUUCAACACGGCUUUAAAAUCCUUUUGAACUCAAAAAGCCGUGGCAGAGAUCGGCCGGUGUUUUGGUUUAAACCGCGACCCUAUUAACUGGAGACUCUCAGCCGGAUGCAUCCCUCAUAAACGUCUUUAGACGAUCAUUAAAUAUCUGAUGUGGAUAUUUUGAAAUCUUAAUAAAAACUAAACUAGUUUGCAUUCCCAGGAACUCCCUCUGUGUUUCAACAGCUGUGUAAACUCCACAAACACUGUUACAAGGUCUCCAGUUUACAGGGUCACUUUUAAAACUGUAACACCGGGAGAGACGCAUUCGUGGUGGGCUGAGAGAAGACUACUGUUACAAGCUGCUAAAUCAAGAGAAUCACAGAUGUGUGUGAUGUUAUUGUGGACGGCAGGUGGAAUAAAAACACUUCAGUUAAUCUACCAAUCAGACACGUUCAGCAUUGCAGGCCCAGCCCCCCAAAAGCCCCGGGACCUUUGAAAAGUACUACCCCCCUAGCAGGUGCUUUUUAGGGGGGAGAUUAUCUACCCCUGAACUAAAUUUAGACCCUGGGUCCACCAGUUCUUGGGUAAAGUUCCUCUGGUCGAAGGACGCCUUUUGUCAGCCUCAGGUGUGUUUCCUCAGCCUCACCUGUCAGUUUCCUUCUUGUGUAAGACAGUGGCAUGCUGUACCAGGAGUCUGAAGUAUAAUCACACUGGACACACAUACUGAGGCCAUUUGUGCUAGUUUGGUAGAAUUUCCCCCUUUUAUUUGUAUUUAUGUAUUUAUUUUCCUGGCCGUGCUGCCAUGACUGUAUUUAUUUUUGAAUGGUCAAAAUAUGGAAUAAAUUUAUUUAUAAAGAAAUGUCUCCAUGGCAUUGAUUCAGGGGUUUGAAGUGGUGUAAUAUAUUGUAAUAAAUACAGUUUAAAAGGUCCAGAAUGCAAAUGAUACUCAAAGUGUUUGUACAUGUGUUAGCUGAACAGCUUGUCCUUUUAAUUUAACAUUGAUGGUAAAUGUUAGUGACGCAUUCAUAUAUGUUUUUGUACUGUAAGACAAAGUUAAUGAUUGGAUAAAGAACAAAAGGACUGGA